UUCUUUUUUUUUUAUUUUUAUUUUUUCAAACUGAUGCAAAAUAUUUAUUCCACGUUAGUUAUUUUAUGCAGUAGUUUUUCCCCUCAACAGACUUGUGGUAACCACAUCUUUUAAAUCUGUAAAUAAUGUUAUCAAAAUAAUCUUAAUCUUUGAAUCUCACAAAAAUUCAUAUUUUACAAUCCACCCUGAAUAUCAAGGCUGCAAGAAUAACAUUUCCUAUAUCCAAAUAUUUUACAGCUGUACCCAAAAAAAAGGAAAAAAAAAAACCCAAACAAAAACAACCACAUAUGCUUGGUUAAGGGCUAAGUUACCCAGCAGCCAAAAAUAAAAUAAAAUAUCCAAAUUAUUAGCAUUAAUUUAAUACAAUUAUAACUUCAAUAGUCACUUUGUCAUUGACAAUGAUUGUGUGAGCACAGGCUGGGUGCCCAGGGCUGGGAGCAGAAGCUGUUGAGCAGCGCAGCGCCCCUCCCUGCAUCUUUGCCUGCACAGCUCCCACUUGUGCACAGCCCAACAGGUACUGUGUGUGCUUAAAAAUUCCCACCACACAAAUGUCUACUGAGCAGAUAACAGGGAAGAACAACAAAAGCUAAGCAGGACAAUGGCUCUGUCUUUGGGAUAUGACUAUUUCCCUUGUGCACGAAGUAUUCAACAACAGAAGAAAGGAAAGAACUUUAUAUUCUCUAACACAAGGCCGAGCUCAGCGGGGCAGGGCAGCUGCGAGCAUUUCUACUUCUACUUCCAGGCGUCGUCGUCUGACGUCUCGCUGCUGCUUGUUUCCGUGUCUGAGUCCUCACACUCUGCAAUGCAAGUGCUUCUCCAUGGGGAGAACAGGCUGGAACUACGGCCUUGUAAGAAGCCAUUCUUUACAAACCCGUUCCUUCGUAGCUGUUCUGUUCUCGUGUGAAACUCCUUGAGUUCAUCCUCUGUGAGUGGGAGGCAACUCUCAUCAUUUUCAGGAUACUCCUGCCACCCCAUUGCUUUCAAUAACCUGUGCUCUGCUUCUAGAGAGUGUGACAGGACCUCCCUCUCCUCUACCAUGGGUAGAGAAAGCCCGUUCUGAAGACAACCUUGUUCUCCAUUUUCCUUUGGUUCAGGUGUGUGGCUGCCCUCCAAUCUUAGCCCCUCCAGCUUGUCACAGUCUCUACUUUGGGAGCAGUCUUCAUUGCGCUCAUCCUUCAGAGUCUUCAGGAACUCGCUCUUCCUGUCUGUGGUUCGUCGGGUCAAUUUGGUCAGGCGAGAGGAGCUGAUCUCUAUCGGAGGGGUAGUACUGGAGGGACUCUCUUUGGGAGCGUUGAGAACUACACCAGCAGCUAGUACCACUGGUUUAGUAACAGAAACUGGAUUGGUCAAAGCAGCCUCCCGGCUGGAGGAAAGUGAUCCAGGUUUGUGUUCCAUUCUGUUAGCUUUCCAUGCGUUGGGCUUAGAGGGAGGUGGUGCAGGCUUGGGAACCAAGUUCUUAUAAACACUCGGGACCAUGGUUGACACUUUGUUCCCAUUUGCAUGGUGGGAUCCUGAGGUAAAUGCAGCGGAAAAGGCAGCAGCAGGAUCCUCUUUGGAAAUUUUUUUGAUGACUAGCAUCUUUGAGGGUUGCUUGGCACUAGGUGGAUUUUCCCACACUCCAGAAGGGGUCCCAAUAGGUCUGCAUGGCUGAUUCUGUUUGCCAGCUUCUGGAUUCAAAGAAGGGAAGUCUUCCUCUUCAAACUGCAACUUUUCUACUUUAUCCUCUUUUUUCUCUUCCCUAAUUUCAGUUGGUGUUUUUUCUUGAAAGGCAUAGCCUUUCCGGGAAUGGAAGCUGCCAUUCCAGUGUCGGUGGUUUCCUGUACUACCUCCACCACGUUGGCUCAUGCCAUCAUGACCUCGGGAAGAGCCAUGCCAACCAGACAGAUUCCCUGUGGUUCCGGCAUACGCUCCCUUAGAGACACCAGAGUCAACAGAAUCAUGGCGGAAUAGGGAGGGCUGGUGCCAAGAAUCUCCUGUAGUCCGCAGAGGUCCAUUGUUAAAAAAGCCAUCAGAGGAAUUAUGUCUACGACGGCUUAUUCCAAAUCUACCUUCUCCACGGGAUAGGUGCUCUCCGUGUUUGUCAAAGGUGGCUGUAGAUGACUUAGCUGACUGUGGCGUUGAAAAAUUUAGCCAAGCAGGAACAAAGUCAUGCUGCGCCAUUUAGGUCCAGUGUCUUUUCAGCAAGUUGAGGCAUCCAACCUCAUGGCCAGGAUCCUCAGAGUGUCACCUCUGUGGUCCUGUAUCCAAGUUGCCACCUGUAUCUUCCACGAGGUUUUCUUGUAAAAAGGGUCUAAAAUAGCCUGGGCAGCAGCACGCCUUGUGAUGAAGCACAAAGAAGCCCAGCUCUGUGUGGCCCACCCUCUGAAUCCUCUCAAUCGCUCAUCCUCAAUACCUAGUUCCCAACACUUUUCCACAGGGGGAAGGGGAAGGGGAAGGGGGAAGGGGAACAUUAAAAGUUAUUUGUUACAUUUAAAAAAGGGGGGAAAGGGGGAAAAGCUAUGUCUAUGUUCACCUCAUUCAACUUCCUUGAGUAAUGGCACUAUAAUGUUGCUUAAAUAGGCAAAACAUGGACAUCUGCACAGGGAGUGCAAACACUGUUCAUAACAAGGUCAUGGCUAAAAAGACAAGUGGUCUCAGGUGUGAACAGGAAAUGUCAUCAGGGUGACAGGUCAAAACUGUAUAGUAAAGCACUGGGAUAGAGCUUCUGCACAACCAGUUCCAGUGGCACAAUAUCCACAACAAAAGCUUUUAAAACAGAAAUCUCAUUAUCAUACACAACUGCUUAAAGCAGUGUGCAGAUAAAUGCUUUCAUUGGUUUUAACCUUCAAAAUCUAAAGAUAUAAGUAGUCUUGUUUUGUUUUUUGUAAAAGGAAUCCAACAGAAACUUGAUAUAUUUUUCCUGCCACAGAAUAGCAGCUUUCAAGGCAAAUGUCUUGGUAUAAAGCUCCUAAAUAUAUAUCCUAUUUCUUUGGUCUUUACUAUUUAUACAUUCAAAGCAAAAUUAUAAGUAGAAAACGUAAGGGUCAAGGAGAAAGAGAAUUCCAAAAUGAGGUUUUCUUCUUAUUAAUUUUCUGUAUUUCACUUGUUCUCCUCUUUCCCAAAAACUGAACUGUGCUUCCAGAAGUGAUAUGAAGAAUCUUCUAUUGCUUUAUUGAAGAAAUCACUUUCUAAUUUGGGUCCAUCUCCAUCAUUACACAAACAUUAAAAAGGCCACUUGAGUCUGCAAAUCCGGCAGCGGCGGGGCUACGGUCAAGGACAACUCUCGGCGUCUAAGGACGCGUCCCCAGCUUCUCCGACCAGCAGAGGUGACUAGCCCACAACCAUAACAAAGCUCUUCCCAAAAUGGCUGCCCGGCC
ensembl:lncRNA Gpbp1l2 GC-rich promoter binding protein 1-like 2